AGUAUGCAGCAACAUCAUAGAUGCCUACAUCUGUAUAUGUAUUGUUCAGUUUCUUCACAAUAUUGAGAUAACUACUAUGAUUCAUUCACUACUUGUGAGAGUAACUAAAUAAAAUAAUAGCAUUAUUAAUGUCUUAUAAUAAUAAGGUUUGCCAUUGUGCACUGGGGCCACAAGGAAAAUAAGUGAUAAUAAUCAAUUGUUUCGCUAUUUUUUUCACUUGGGGCCAUAAGGAUGGAGUGAUAAAGGGUAUGUAAACUAUAUAUAUUACAGAAUCCAGCUUGGCAAAAGAUAAUGGAGCGCAGAAUCAUUGAAGGUUUGUGUACACGUGGUAUAGAAUGUUCCAAGACAUGUAUUUUCUCGAGUUCUAUCAAAGGCUCAGUGACAGAGAGAUGAAAGAAGUGUACAGUGGCUUGAAAAAAAUAAAUAAAUUAAAAAAUCCUCAAGUGGAGAGAUGGUACCAACUACCCCCCCUUGCUUUACUCUUGCUUUUAAGUUGUUAUCUCUUCUGGCCUCUGCCAUGCCCUUUACUUGUGAUGUUAUCCAUCCUUUAUCUCUCUAAACAUCUCGAGGUUUGACUGCACGCCUGUGUUUGUCUAAAGCAUUGCACAAAAGCCUUUUCUUCUUGUUUGACGAGGAUCAGUAUGGAUUCUUGAUGCAUGUGCUCAUUUUAACCUCAUUAUGCUGCGUAUGCCGAGGUUUUGACUAAACAUUUAGAAAGGCAUGUGAACUGCAGGGAAUUGUGCUGAAAUUCUGAAAGCACUGCUUUAUCUUUAUGACAUAUUAUGUGAAUGUGACAUACUGUAUGACCACUUUCCCUGGUGCUUGCUCUCACUGUGAAUGAUGUUUUUUCCAAACAGGUAUGACAUCCAUUUCAAUCACUUGUGUGAGCUUUUCUAGUGCCUAGUUAAACUUUUCUUGCUUUGCUUUUUAUGAGAAAAUACCCAAUGGCCUUGGUGGGAUGAAACAACAUGAAAUGGUGGGUACUAUUUCUCUACUAUAAA